AUGUUUGUUCACAGUGCCUGCAGACAUUGUGAGAUGGCCCUGUUCAUCUUCAUAAUCUUUCAUCUUGUACUGGAGGAUAAAUCGCAAGGUUUGCCUCAGGCCAAGCUGACAAUAUUUCCAACAUUUGCUACUGAUGAAGAAAAGGUGCAGAUGGUCUGUGGAGGUCAUGAGAAUCAGCAUAUAUCUGAGUGCAUGUUUUACCCUGCAGGACAGGAGAACUUUUUAAAACCAAGUGCAUCGUGUAACUUUUCCCUUACUGGUGCCAACCUGAUCAUAUGGUCACAAGAUCAGGAGAGUUCACAUGUUAACAUAUCCUGCUACUAUACUGUGCAUGCCUUAGGAGAAAAUGGAACAUCACCUCAUUCCAACAUAGUCUCAGUCAGGGUCAGAGGUAAGCUGUUUAUUCACAAACUAUUUUUAAUUGACAGAUGAAGUGGUUUAUUCUUUUCAAAGCAGAUGUUUUUGUUUCUUGUAAGGUUUGGCCACCAUGUCGUCUUUGCCACCAACCACAGAGGACAGCCCAAAUACAAUGACCCCCAAUGGAGGAACCUUUCAAGGUUGGAAUUAUCAUAGAAUUACUUUAAUUUAGAUAACUUGGAUUAAGUAAUAUUCUUGUCACAUAAGAAAAUACUAGUAAGCAUUUCAGUUGCUCAAAGUGAGUUUUAUUUUCUUGCGCUGAUGCAUUUCCAUUUGAAAUGCUAAGUUUGUCAUGUCAUAAGCAUGAGUCUUGUAUUUGGAUUGAACAAAAAUGUAUAUUCACCCUUAGUCAUCGAGUCUUUAACACUAAAGGAAAAGACUUGUAUAUCUGCUAAAAUAUAAUUAUUAAUUCAAUAAUCCUUUAAAUAAUUUUUUGUAAGGCCAAUUUUAGUUUUUCUUAUUCUAGCACUCUCUAAUCUAAACUGAUCAUUGCGAUUUCAUAAUCAUUUAAACAUCCAUUUCAGUGAAUUUGUCCACUGUGUCAACAACGAACACAACAACAUGUGAGUUGCCUUGAUUGAUUGUUAUUACUUAACAACUAGGCUAUAUCCUCUCAACCAACAUAAUUCUAAUUCAUUCUGUACACAUACCUCAUAUUAUUACAUCUGUAUUAUAAUCAUCCAUUUAACAAUAAUUUUGUCCAUUAAUAAUAUGUUUAACACGUAGUGUAACUCUUGUUCUGUGGGUUUAAUAGCUUUGGCUGUAACAUCCAGUACUGAAAUCAUAACAGAUUCAUUAACCGGUAAGUGCUUCAUUCCUUCUCAUGAUUUUCCUCUAUUAAUCAAACAUUUUGAUUGGUUGGGUUUAAAUCAACUCAUCUAAAUUUGUUGUGUUACUACAGAUAUGUCCAGUCUAAGUACCCAUGACAGCCAUAGUUUAAUAGAUCCUGCAAAUGGGGAGACCUCAUCUCCGGCUCAUUUCAUCUCAGCAUCCUUGGACUCGAGUACGCUGACUCAUACUACAGAACAUGCAUCAAGUAAAUACUAUAAAAUGUAUAUUUCUAUACACAUGGUCUUGAAAAUUCUCAGUUCACAUCCAAGCUUAACAAACUGAUCAAUUAAUAUAUUAAUCAGGUGUGAAGUGUGAAUGUGUUCAGCCAAAACAAGAUUAAUUAACAUGCUGAAUAUAAUAUGCUAAUGUCCAGUUUUUUAUUUACAGUUUUCCGCUUGAUGACUGAAGGUCCUGAAAUCAAAAAGUACUCAAAAACAAGUAAGUAACUUUACUCAGAGGAUGCAUUUAUUCAGUGCAGCACAUUCAUUGGAAACCGGAUGGCACUGAACAUUAAUGCAACAAUGCAUUUCUUGUUAAUCUUUGAUAUCUUUGUCUCACACAGAAAUGUUUUUCUUGAUUGCUGUGGUUGCAAGUGGUGGAGGAAUUGUACUGACUGGACUCAUAAGCAUCUGUUUGUACAGAUGUACACGUAAGUGUAUAAAUGGACAUGUCUUACAUAUGGCUUAUAGUUUUAACAUUCUAAUUGAACAGAUAAAUGCACAGCUUGACAGUUUGAUGUUUCUUUCAUCACAGGAAAGUCAAAGGCAGAGAGGUAAGGAUGUAUCUGAUUAUAUUUUGAGUGCAUACUAUCUAUGAAAUCAUAGUUCACUGAAAAAGAAAAUUUGCUGAAAAUUUACUUCAUCAUUACAUCACUUUUCCACCAUUGGAUCCUCUGCAGUGAAUGGGUGCCGUCAGAAUGAGAGUCCAAACAGCUGUAAUCCACAUGACUCCAGUCCAUCAAUUAAAGGGUUAGUUCAGCCAAAAAAUGAAAAUUCUGAUAUUAAUUACUCACCCUCAUAUCAUUCCAAACCCGUAAGACCUUUUUCAUCUUCGGAACACAAAUUAAGAUAUUUUUGAUGGAAUCCGAGAGCUCUCUGACCCUCCACAGACAGCAAUGAUAUUUCCACGAUCAACGUACAGAAAUGUAGCAAAGACAUCGGUAAAAUAGUUCAUGUGACAUCAGGGGUUCAACUGUAAUUUUACAAAGCUAUGAGAAUACUUUUUGUGCGCAAAAAAACAAAAACAAUAAUAACAUAAUUUAAUCAGCAAUUCUUCUUCCCAAGUUUCCGUCUUACAGCAUUUUGGAGAGUACCCCAGAACGUAAUCAACGUAAUCAGCGUUGUUUAUGUUCAGUAGACAGUGCGCACAUGUUAUUAUUAUGUUAUUAUUGUUUUCUUUGCACACAAAAUGUAUUCUUGUAGCUUUGUAAAUUACGGUUGAACCCCUGGUGUCACAUGGACUCUCUACCGGUGCUUUGAUCGUAGUAAUAUCAUUGCUGUCUAUGGAGGGUCAGAGAGCUAGAUUUCAUCAAAAAUAUCUUAAUUUGUGUUCCGAAGAUGAACGAAGGUCUUACAGGUUUGGAACGACAUGAUGGUGAGUAAUUAAUGACAGAUUUUUCAGUUUUGGGUGAACUAUUCCUUUAACAUGUUGUGAAUUUAAAACCAUGUAUUUGUAUCAAACAUAGUUUUUUUUUUUUUUUUUUUUCACUUUACCCAUUUGGCUUCUGGCCAAAAUAUGAGAAUAUAAUCCAUGAUAACACUUCCUCCAGAAAAAACCUCUAUCACCUGUUUUUUCUCUAACAUCAAAAUCCACCCACAUAUAUGUUUAUAACUGUUUUUGCUUUUAAAGAGUGCUUGAGAAAGCAUAUCAUACAGAGGAAACAUAUACUCUCUUUUAGUCAGAAGCAAUGGUUUGAAUUUAAAAACAUCAUAAUGAUGGAUUUGUUUAUUACAAACACACAGCUUUUUACUUCACAAGACAUUAACGCAUGGACUGUAGUUGUGUGGGUCACUUGUGGAUUAUUGUGAUGUUUUUAUAAGCUGUUUGGACUCUCAUUCUGACGGCACCCAUUCACUGCAGAGGCUCCAUUGGUGAGCAACUGAUGUAAUGCUAAAUUUCUCCAAAUCUGUUCUAAUGAAGACACAAACUCAUCUACAACUUGAAUGAGCUGUGCGUGAAUAAAUUGUCAGCAAAUUUUUGGAUGAACUACUCC
ensembl:lncRNA